GUCUCUGACUAUAAUCAAAUAAUUGUAUAUUUUGAAUGCAUUAUUUGGCUUUCAGAAGUCUUUUGUAACUUACAACUCCCAAACUUGAGUGGACAAGCAUGCCCAUCCAUAGGAAAGUUAACCAGCCUCAUAGGACAGUCAGCAUUGAUGGUAAGCCUAGGGACAUUGAAAUAAAUGGUUCCGAGUUAGUAUGAUGGACAAAUCAUUUGGGUAGAGGAAGCUGAAUUGGGAAAACCUCACCUCAUAGUGUAUAAAAUAGUUCCAUUCUGCAUUAUUCUGAAGAGUUUAUUAGGGGUUGUCAUAUUGUGGGCAAUUGAUUUUUUGCCAUUCCUGAAAAAAGUGUCAGGUGUCCAGAUUUUACUGACCAUUAAGUUAUUCAAACUCAAAAUCUCAGUUGGCCCCCCAAACUUCAACCUCUCAUCAGUCCAAGUCUGGCGGAAGAAAACGUCCAUUGUAUAUUCCUAAGAAAAAAAAUAAGAUAUUCAUGCAAACUGGGGAGAUAGUUUAUUAAGAAUAGUUGAUUCAUUAGCUUAUAUACCCAAUUCUAAAAUUUAAGAAAUAAAACAACUUUUUUAUGACAAUAGCCUAUCAGAAAAACUAUGAUUUCAGUAAAUUAUUAUUUUUCUCAAACGCAAAGUUUGCAACAUUAUUAUAAAAGAUAGUAUUGUGUCGAGCAAACCUCCCUCCUUCACCUUUACCCUCUUCCACAUUCUUCGUCCUUUCUAUUAGUCAUCCACCUCUCCAUCUAUUGGCCUAUCAAUUUUGCCUUCAUUAGCUUAGAAGAAAAAUAUGAAAAGAUUUACAGUCUAGGUUUUGUGUUGGCCAUCCCACCAUCAGUUAGUCUAACCAUUCCCCUCAAUGUCUUGUCUACCUUCAAAGGUGUCUCCAAGAACCCUGGUACCAUGAAAUCAACUUCCAAGGAUAGACAAACUUUGCUUGAUAAGUGUACUCUGGCUGCACAUCGUAAUUAUUUUAUAUUGUUCUCAGAGAACAUAAAAGCAAAUGUUACCACAAUUACUCAGAGGAUCAUUUAAGUAUGCAUAAUUAGAACUUUGAGUUUUAAUUUGUGGCUUUUAUGAAAUAACAUUAGAAAUCUUAAGAAUUAUGGUGAGGGCAUUGGAAAAGUCAAUAAUAAAUAACAGCUUGUAAGUAUAUCAAAAUAUUGCCAAUAAUUGCUUUGACUACUUUAUAAGUUCCUUUAUGAGACCUAUUAUUACAAGUGGUGAUUAGAUUUUCAAAGUAUAAUUUGACACAUAAUAUAUCCAUAUAAUAAUGGUCUAGAGUAUAACCAAUCUCCACUGUAUAAAUAUACUUUAAAAAUGAGACACAUACAUAAAAUGAAGUUCCAAGUGUUCCCCAGACUUCAAUAAUAUAAUAUAAUAUGGUUGUGAUUAUUUAUUCUGAAGGUGAGUCAGUAGUCAAUGAAAAAUAUGAUAGUAAAAUAAUUGAGGAUUCAGGAUAAUUCUGACUCCCCCUUCUUUCAAGACCUAAUACAUUUAUCUCUUAAAUAAAGUCCUCCUCCUUCUCCUUCACUUCCCUGUUUUCUUUCUUACUUUUGUCCCUCCCUCUCCCUUUCCCUUCCUCUUGUACUGCUUCUUUUUUCUUUUCUUCCCUUCUUGCUUUUUUCUUUUCUUGACAACUCAAAAAAGCAGAAGAUAAAAAGUCUCCAGUAACUACUUAUCCAGUUACAUUUUCCUAAUUAAAUGAGGCAACUAUAUAAAGAUUUAUUUUUACUUCAAUUUUAGUAUUUAUAUUUUACUUUUAGGGGGAGAUAGUACCUGAGAACUAUGAAAAAAUACCAUGAUACACUUUGUUCUAGAAGACUAGUUCAGAUUUUCAUUGCCACUUACUAUAAAUACUCUCUUACGAAUCCUACAGCCAUCUGUACCUGGAACAGAGUUCCCAGAACACCUACUGGUCCAUUCGUAACACAAAAGGUACAACAUACUAGCCUUUCCAAAUGAUGCUCUCUACUGUUUAGUAAAAUAUACUGAGAAGGAUGUGCCACAGAAAAUAGCUAUAUUUUAAGUUUCAUAGAUAUUCUCAAUAUACUCUUAUGUGG
rnacentral:lncRNA from 1 species